UACGUAGGGUGCAAGCGUUGUCCGGAAUUAUUGGGCGUAAAGAGCUCGUAGGCGGUCUGUUGCGUCGGCUGUGAAAACCCGAGGCUCAACCUCGGGCCUGCAGCCGAUACGGGCAGACUAGAGUUCGGCAGGGGAGACUGGAAUUCCUGGUGUAGCGGUGAAAUGCGCAGAUAUCAGGAGGAACACCGGUGGCGAAGGCGGCUUCCUGGACCGACACUGACGCUGAGGCGCGAAAGCUAGGGGAGCAAACGGG
rnacentral:rRNA from 1 species